rnacentral:rRNA from 1 species
AGCGAACGCUGGCGGCAGGCCUAACACAUGCAAGUCGAACGAACUCUUCGGAGUUAGUGGCGGACGGGUGAGUAACACGUGGGAACGUGCCUUUUGGUUCGGAAUACCUCAGGGAAACUUGUGCUAAUACCGAAUGUGCCCUUCGGGGGAAAGAUUUAUCGCCAUUAGAGCGGCCCGCGUCUGAUUCGCUAGUUGGUGAGGUAACGGCUCACCAAGGCGACGAUCAGUAGCUGGUCUGAGAGGAUGACCAGCCACACUGGGACUGAGACACGGCCCAGACUCCUACGGGAGGCAGCAGUGGGGAAUCUUGCGCAAUGGGCGAAAGCCUGACGCAGCCAUGCCGCGUGAAUGAUGAAGGUCUUAGGAUUGUAAAAUUCUUUCACCGGGGACGAUAAUGACGGUACCCGGAGAAGAAGCCCCGGCUAACUUCGUG